UUAUCGGAGAGUUUGAUCCUGGCUCAGGACGAACGCUGGCGGCGUGCCUAAUACAUGCAAGUCGAGCGGACAGAUGGGAGCUUGUUCCCU
rnacentral:rRNA from 1 species